rnacentral:rRNA from 1 species
CCUACGGGCGGCAGCAGUAGGGAAUCUUCCACAAUGGGCGAAAGCUUGAUGGAGCAACGCCGCGUGGGUGAAGAAGGUCUUCGGAUCGUAAAACUCUGUUGUUAGAGAAGAAAGUGCGUGAGAGUAACUGUUCACGUUUCGACGGUAUCUAACCAGAAAGCUACGGCUAACUACGUGCCAGCAGCCGCGGUAAUACGUAGGUGGCAAGCGUUAUCCGGAUUUAUUGGGCGUAAAGGGAACGCAGGCGGUCUUUUAAGUCUGAUGUGAAAGCCGUCGGCUUAACCGGAGUAGUGCAUUGGAAACUGGGAGACUUGAGUGCAGAAGAGGAGAGUGGAACGCCAUGUGUAGCGGUGAAAUGCGUAGAUAUAUGGAAGAACACCAGUGGCGAAAGCGGCUCUCUGGUCUGUAACUGACGCUGAGGUUCGAAAGCGUGGGUAGCAAACAGGAUUAGAUACCCUGGUAGUC